rnacentral:rRNA from 1 species
UACGUAGGGACCGAGCGUUGUCCGGAUUCAUUGGGCGUAAAGAGCUCGUAGGCGGCUGCUCAAGUCGAAUGUGAAAACUCGAGGCUCAACCUCGAGCCUGCAUUCGAUACUGGGCGGCUAGAGUCUGGUAGGGGGAUCUGGAAUUCCUGGUGUAGCGGUGGAAUGCGCAGAUAUCAGGAGGAACACCGGUGGCGAAGGCGGGUCUCUGGGCCGAAACUGACGCUGAGGAGCGAAAGCGUGGGGAGCGAACAGG